GGAUGUGAGGGCGAUCUGGCUGCAACAUCUGUCACCCCACUGAUCACCAGGGCUGAUUUGGCUGACCUGGUUGGCCAGGCGGAUGUCCCCUUCCUCCCUCACCACUCCACAUGGGUCCUUCCUGAAGCUGUGCUCUUGGUCGAAGAGGACGACCACCCCGAUAGAGGAGAACUGUUUCCUCAGUCAAGGGUAUGUGGGUAGCUGCGCUCCUCUGCUAGAACCUCCAAAUAAGCUUUCAAGAAAAGUUUGAGUAAUUUUGCCUAAUUACAUAAUUUUGUUAAAAAACUUUUUUUUAAA
rfam:Heterocephalus glaber contig85549, whole genome shotgun sequence.